CUACGGGGCGCUCCAGUGGGGAAUAUUGCACAAUGGGCGCAAGCCUGAUGCAGCCAUGCCGCGUGUAUGAAGAAGGCCUUCGGGUUGUAAAGUACUUUCAGCGGGGAGGAAGGGAGUAAAGUUAAUACCUUUGCUUAUUGACGUUACCCGCAGAAGAAGCACCGGCUAACUCCGUGCCAGCAGCCGCGGUAAUACGGAGGGUGCAAGCGUUAAUCGGAAUUACUGGGCGUAAAGCGCACGCAGGCGGUUUGUUAAGUCAGAUGUGAAAUCCCCGGGCUCAACCUGGGAACUGCAUCUGAUACUGGCAAGCUUGAGUCUCGUAGAGGGGGGUAGAAUUCCAGGUGGAGCGGUGAAAUGCGUAGAGAUCUGGAGGAAUACCGGUGGCGAAGGCGGCCCCCUGGACGAAGACUGACGCUCAGGUGCGAAAGCGUGGGGAGCAAACAGGAUUAGAUACCCCAGUAGUC
rnacentral:rRNA from 1 species